AGGAUCCUGAUUUUGUUCCUGUGCUCCAGGGAAGUGACUGCCCUCUGAGGACAACAUCUUUGUCUUAAAGCCAAGGACGUGAUCUCUUCAUCCAUGUCAAGGACAUUCUCUCUGCUCCAGGCUGAGGCCACAGCCUGUGGGGACAGCAAAGCUUCUCUUCAGGAACCCGAAAUGCAGCCCAGGAAACCAGACCCCGCGUCUCCAGCCUCAAC
rnacentral:lncRNA from 1 species